rnacentral:tRNA from 1 species
CGCGGGGUAGAGGAGUCCGGUUGUCCUCGUCUGGCUCAUAACCAGGAGAUCGGGGGUUCAAAUCCCCCUCCCGCUCCCA